rnacentral:lncRNA from 1 species
AUUUAGCUAGAACUGUAGAGGUCUAAAACAACUUCAUCUACUAAUUCUUGGAGAAUACGCCUAGAAACUUCAGUGCCACAUUCAUAUUCUUCAAUCUCGAAGUCCGUACAUUUACCUAAAGAAUGGCUCGUAUCCCAUUCUAUUAGCUCGUCUGGGAUCAAACCAACAAAUUGUGUCCACUCUUCGACCUCAUCAAUAAUAUCAGCAAUCAGAAUCUCUUUGGUCAUACUUGAUGGUAGUUUGGUACAGGUUCUGAAACCAGAAUCAGAGAUUGGAGAAAAUUUUGAGUCUAGGUACUCUAAUAGACAAUCAAAGGCGAAUCCUUUAAGCUGAUUCAUCUGUUUUGGGUCAUUACAGCCAAGCAAAUCACCGAAACCCAUCCACAGAAAACUCGAAAACCUUUCAUGUUCAUUGAGGAGAAAAUGGCUCACAGAGAACCCAUCCUCUACAGGUAGAGCCUGCUGUUGAGGUGUAGUUCCAAAUAUGAGUUCGGCAUUCAAAAUGACCUGUUUUGCGUAGCUGAGUUUGCUUCCUUUUAACUGAUCAAUCUUGCUGAGCACUCCAGAAACGUUAUGAAUCAGUUCUCUGCAACUCCUCCUGGUGGAUAAUGAGGUCUCACAAUCCGAAAGAUCUCUAUCAGGUUCUAGAAAGAGUGGUUCAUCAUCAACAGAGUCCAUUGAUUAAGCAAGCACCUUUUCCCCUGGAAGAAAACACGCAUCAUAUUUAUUAGAAGCGUGGAUGCAUAAGAAAUCCAAGUUCCGAGUAUUUUUUAAUUUAUGUAUUUGAGGGAAAGAAAGGAAGUAUGCAAGUAGUAAAAUGUCGAAUCGGGGACCAUACUUGAGCUACUAUUGGGAC